rnacentral:rRNA from 1 species
GACGAACGCUGGCGGCGUGCCUAAUACAUGCAAGUCGAACGAGAGCAACCGGUGCUUGCACUGGUCAAUCUAGUGGCGAACGGGUGAGUAACACGUGGGUAACCUGCCCAUCAGAGGGGGAUAACAUCCGGAAACGGAUGCUAAAACCGCAUAGGUCUUCGAACCGCAUGGUUUGAAGAGGAAAAGAGGCGCAAGCUUCUGCUGAUGGAUGGACCCGCGGUGCAUUAGCUAGUUGGUGAGGUAACGGCUCACCAAGGCCGUGAUGCAUAGCCGACCUGAGAGGGUGAUCGGCCACAUUGGGACUGAGACACGGCCCAAACUCCUACGGGAGGCAGCAGUGGGGAAUCUUCCACAAUGGACGCAAGUCUGACGGAGCAACGCCGCGUGGGUGAAGAAGGUUUUCGGAUCGUAAAACUCUGUUGUUAGAGAAGAACAAGUGCUAGAGUAACUGUUAGCGCCUUGACGGUAUCUAAACAGAAAGCCACGGCUAACUACGUG